UACGGAGGGGGCUAGCGUUGUUCGGAAUUACUGGGCGUAAAGCGCACGUAGGCGGCUUUGUAAGUUAGAGGUGAAAGCCCAGGGCUUAACCCUGGAAUUGCCUUUAAGACUGCAUGGCUAGAAUCGUGGAGAGGUAAGUGGAAUUCCGAGUGUAGAGGUGAAAUUCGUAGAUAUUCGGAAGAACACCAGUGGCGAAGGCGACUUACUGGACACGUAUUGACGCUGAGGUGCGAAAGCGUGGGGAGCAAACAGG
rnacentral:rRNA from 1 species